rnacentral:rRNA from 1 species
GAUGAACGCUGGCGGCGUGCCUAAUACAUGCAAGUCGAGCGAACGGACGAGAAGCUUGCUUUUCUGAUGUUAGCGGCGGACGGGUGAGUAACACGUGGAUAACCUACCUAUAAGACUGGGAUAACUUCGGGAAACCGGAGCUAAUACCGGAUAAUAUUUUGAACCGCAUGGUUCAUAAGUGAAAGACGGUCUUGCUGUCACUUAUAGAUGGAUCCGCGCUGCAUUAGCUAGUUGGUAAGGUAACGGCUUACCAAGGCAACGAUGCAUAGCCGACCUGAGAGGGUGAUCGGCCACACUGGAACUGAGACACGGUCCAGACUCCGACGGGAGGCAGCAGUAGGGAAUCUUCCGCAAAGGGCGAAAGCCUGACGGAGCAACGCCGCGUGAGUGAUGAAGGUCUUCGGAUCGUAAAACUCUGUUAUUAGGGAAGAACAUAUGUGUAAGUAACUGUGCACAUCUUGACGGUACCUAAUCAGAAAGCCACGGCUAACUACGUG